CCUCCCCCGUUUUCCUCCGUGAAAUGCAGUAAUUGCAUACAUUUCUGCCUGUCUCUAAAGCAUAAAUGGAUUUAUACUAUAGUAUUGGUGCAGUAAUGCAAGAUAUUGGAUUACAUAUGUCAGAAAACGAACUAGUAGCCAGUUGUUGUUGCCCAUGGUGAAAUAAUAUCAAACCCACAGACUCCUGAAGCACAUAUGUCCCACACGAACUCCCGAGUCUAGUUAGCAUUUCGCUACCUAGCUAGGCUGUUUUAUGACAAAACGGAUGAUCUGAAUCAAACACUAACGUUAGUUAGCCAUCCUCGGCGACAAUGUUAUUGUGGCGCAGGAAAUUCAUAUUUGUGUUUUAACUUUAUGUUAACUGUCAUUGAAGUUGAUGCUUACUAUUAGGUUUCAGAUUCGAAGUAAGAUCAAUUGCCCGUUAUGUUUUGUGUUUCGUUAAGGACUCAGAGUGCCCUUCUUACGGAAGGAAAUGUCGACUCCCGGAACACUUAAAACAAAGUAACUGUACUACUGUAGCCAACACUCUUAUUUUCUAAGACAAGUGAAGAAACGCGUAGUUUCCACAAUGGAUCCGGCAAAUAUACUUGUAAUGGAGUCCAGACGGCAGCAUUAACAUUUGCCUUGUAUUUGUAUCCAUUCCAUGCAGUCAUUACUAGAGAGACAACCGGCAGAAUUGUGUCCAGAGCCUCGUCUCCCACCUACACCUUACAAGAACACAAUGCAGAACGGUACCAGUGCAGAGCCGGUUACAUUGGUGCCGUGAUCCGGAUCAACGUGGAUCAUUAUGAAUCGCCGUUGAUCAACACCUUCUUGGUCACCGGGAGUUGCUAUGCUAUAAAUAGCGGUCAGCUCUACCUGUAGCUCUCUCAGUGGGAGGGGCUUAUCAUAAGGGGAGCCUCAACAACAACAUGAUGCUGACAAGUCGUCUCUCCAGAAGAGUCUCUCCAGAUCAGAACGUCUCAAUGAACACCAGCAAAGACUUAUAGGAAGAAACCUCACCACCGCUGCUCUGACUGUGGGAAAAGUUUUGCUAAACAGAGAAAAUUGGUCAUUUACCAGUGGAUUCAUGCUGGAGGGAAGCCUUAUAGUUGUGAUCAGUGUGGGAAGAGUUUUGCUUGAGAUUUCACCGUGACCAAACACCGACUUAUACACACAGGAGAGAGGCCUUAUAGCUGUAAUCAGUGUGGGAAGAGCUUUAAUCAAUCAGCAGCCCUGAGCACACACCAACGCAUACACACUGGAGAGAGACAGGAGUAAGGUGUAUGUGGAAAGAGCUUUGCUCAAUUGGGGUCACUGAAAAAAACACCAGAAAGCACAAACAUGUUUUCUUUCAUCCCUCCUCUUAGGCACCUGUUCAAUAUAUCUAAAUACAGUUUGAACAGAAAACAUAUUGGAAAGAGUCAGCUCUGGAACCAUAUGUAAUCAAGCUUCUUGGAGUAGGAGUGGUGUGUGUGUGUGUGGUGGGGUGGGGAUGUUCAGAGCUGUAUCUUACUUCAAUAACUCCUAUUAUCUAUUAAUGAAUUGUAUAAUGUUUCAACAAUACAAGGUGUGUAUUCAUGUAUUCAAUAGAUCAAUAAAUAUAUUCCAUUAUCUGCUCAACAACGUCUGCUUAUGACAUUAAUUAUGUGUUUUAAAAAAAUCGAAUAAUCCAUUUUUAAAAGGACCAUAGUCUUCUUGUAUAAUUAGUUUGCUCCUAAAAGAUGUUCACAUAUUUAUUUUAAAACCUUUCACCAGGUUUUAGUGUAGCUGAUGGGACACAUAGAAGUACAGAAGAUAUAGGACUAUUAGUGUUGUCAAAUUAAGUUGUUGAAUUUAUUUUAAAGGAUUUAAUUUGUGAUAUCUUUGAACUUUCCUUAUUGUGUAUUAAGUGUGCUCCAGAAAGAUGUUCACACAUUUUAUUGUGAAUCGAAUGAUGUGUUGGUUGUUAGGAAGAGGCAUCAUGGGGGCAGGAAGCCAGCUCUGCCCAUCAGUACCUGUAGGUCAACCACAGACCUCACACUCUUCUGUUUCCUCGCGGCCAGUAAGGUCUCCUACCAAACCUCUCUCUCUUCACACUGGAAAUACACUUGAUAAUAUCUUAUACCUCACCAUUCUACUGUUUAUUGGUGAUUUGUUAUGUGGAACGAAUGCUUGCAUGUAAAUGUCAUUGUAAAACAUACAUAUGAAUGUGGUUUCAUGUUUUCUUUUACAUUGCUGAUUGGAUAUACAUUUUUUUUUUAAAUGUUUAGUUGAAUUCUGUAGAAGAGACCAG